GCCGCUGCCGCCCCCUUUGGCCAAAAGCCUAGCUGCCGCCCCCGGCCCCGCCGCCGCCCCUCGUGCCGCCACCCCUCCUUCCGAGCAUGUGCCGCCCAUCAUCCCUCCCUCCUCUCCUCUUCUCCUAUCGCGCCGCCCAUUCAUCCGAGCCCAACGACGCCAAAUCCGUGCGCCACCCAUCUUUCCCCAUGUUCCGCUCCCUCCCUGAUAAAGCCCAAAAAUCGUUCCCCUCCUCCUCCUGUGGAUCCAGUCGAACCUGAAUCCCUCCCUCAUCCUCCCCGUUCACUGAAGCCAAUGGCGACUCCACUGGCGAUGGGUGUUGGCGACCAACUACAGACGCAGACGACGGACUGUCCAAGAGAUCGAUAGAUGGGUGGGUGGGUGGCUGCGGGCGCGUGCUCACGUCGAGUUUCCCUGCAGGUCAGCGGUGGCGGGUCUGGAGACGCGGAUGCCCCUCUGCAGCGCGGCGUUGGCGGCGUGCCUGGGAUCCUGCAUCACCCGAGUGAUGCGGCGCGCCAAGCAACAGUAGGGGAAGGGGGUCUCCUGCUCGAGGAGUCGAAGGAGUAGGGGCGUGCCCAGAAGGCAGACCUAUCCUGCUCGUUGGGGAGGGCCAAGAGGGGUCUGCUCCUCUGCUUCCAUUGCGACCGCGGCAGGUUUAUUAGGAUGUGGCUGAAACCAUUGGAUGGCCUUCGUGGACUUGCUAUCAAUACUGGUCUCAUGUUUUGUUUCCUUUCUGGACAUGUUAUGGUUCAAGUGUUGCUGUUGUUUAGUACGAAGUGCUUAACUUAACUUAGUUUGAGCUACUAAAACCCACUCUCAAAUUAAUGAAUUCCUGUUUUCCGAAACUUCGAUGUUGAGCUCCUCUCCUCGCCGAGCCGUGGCCGUCGAUUUUCAUUUCGUCAACCACCACUCCAGCUACCUUCCAGUGUAAUCAAAUUUGCUCCUGUAUGUAUGUAUGUAUAUAUAUGUAUGAGGCUGGGUAGUUCAACUCUAGUUUUAUUUCUAACUAUAUAUGGUGGAAAUUGUGCAGGUUCGAUGGUGCCAAGUGGCCUCUGGCCAUCUUGAACUGGAACUCCAGUAGCAAGUAGAUGUUGCUGCCGUACUCAAUAUUUUAAGUUAUUUUUUUCAUUUUUCAGAGAAGUGUAUUAGGUUGAUGAGAUUAAUUAGCUCAGUUGGCUAAAGUAGCAACAAUAACAGCCACGCUUUGCCAUCCACUUUAUAGCUGGAUUGUACUUACAUGCUUAGGUAACCUUGUACGCAUAGCUGGUCUGUUUAAUUUAUAAAUGGUUAUCUGUUGCUGCUGCGGGAGCAACGUUGCUGAUGGCGAUGGGUACGUGAUGGUGGCUAGUGUGGUGGACGACCCAGAAUAUAGUUGGAUGGAGCUGCUGGAGGUGAAUGGAGCUGCUACUUGGGACAUUGCAUCUCAGCAUCUGUUCAGUGGGUUUGACGCACAGUUUCAGUCAGUCCAAAGUUCGUGAAGAGGUCUGAUGUGGUUUUGUGAAGGAAGGGGAUGUACGGCUCCUCGGGCAGCUCCUUGUCAUGGGCGGCGCCGUCGUCUGCAGGGCCGUUUCUUCUUUGAAUUACCACACACGCGCGUCUUGUUUGUUGCUAAUCAACCAGUGAUUUGGGUGAUUUUGGGUUGCUGUUAGUUUUUCUUCUGCAAUUUAAUGCUGUCAAUGCUCUUUCUCGUUUGGUGGAUCAACUAAUUGCUUACAAAUCCAGCAAGCAUGAAUUCUUAAUUUUACAGAUUUGUUUGACUGACUUUCUCAAAUCUAGCUCGUGUCUAUUUGUUGGAUGUGGAUCAAGUCUCCCUAUGUCGAUGAGUUCUAGAUUCCAGUUCACCAUGUUUUGCUUAUGAAUGAAUGCGCUAGAAGUAGAACAUAAUUUGUUGCAUUGGUGGUUACUUUAUACAUUUUCUAAUUGGUCAAUCAACUAGUUAGCUACAGUUUACAUUGGUCAGGGAAUGUCGAUGGUCAAAGAAUUAACGUCGAUUCUCUAGAUCUUAACAUGUGGUUCUUGGAUAGGUCCCUUUUUGAACCCUUUUUUAUCUGAAUCCCAUGAAGAAGUAAAUGAGUCUAGUUUUAUAACAGGCAUGCUGUCUUAUUAAAUCAGGGGGAAAUUAUUGCCUGGAUAGGUGUUUUAUUUUGAGAAGUUUGUGGAUGUUGAUCAAGUCCCCCUUUCCGCUCUAUGAAACGUUUCUCCUGUUGUACUUCUUAAAAAGCUUUCCGCCGAUGGCAGGAAGAAGAAGGUUGUUCACAAGAAGAUGGCAGGAAGAAGCAGGCUAAUUCGAUUCGAUCCUCAAGAUGCUGGUCUAUCAUGUUUCUUCGCGAGCAUCAGGACAAAGAAGUUGGAAGAAGCAUAGUUCUAACUCAUUGGAGCUAGUUCUGGGAGUAAUGAAGCCCUUUAGGCUGAUCCUAUUUGUAUGUGUGUUAUAUGAUGUAGACUGUACACUUGUAGACUCAUGUGGUAGACUGUACACUUGUAGAGCUGUUAUCUAAUUGUAAACUUGAUGCUGAUCACAUUAUGUAUGUAUGUUAUAUGAUGUAGCAUAUUGCUUCUUGCUAUUA